rnacentral:rRNA from 1 species
AUUGAACGCUGGCGGCAUGCCUUACACAUGCAAGUCGAACGGCAGCACGGGAGCAAUCCUGGUGGCGAGUGGCGAACGGGUGAGUAAAGUAUCGGAACGUGCCCAGUCGUGGGGGAUAACGUAGCGAAAGUUAAGCUAUACCGCAUACGAUCUAUGGAUGAAAGCGGGGGAUCGCAAGACCUCGCGCGAUUGGAGCGGCCGAUAACAGAUUAGGUAGUUGGUGGGGUAAAGGCUCACCAAGCCGACGAUCUGUAGCUGGUCUGAGAGGACGACCAGCCACACUGGGACUGAGACACGGCCCAGACUCCUACGGGAGGCAGCAGUGGGGAAUUUUGGACAAUGGGCGAAAGCCUGAUCCAGCCAUGCCGCGUGCAGGAUGAAGGCCUUCGGGUUGUAAACUGCCUUUGUACGGAACGAAAAGGUUUGGCCUAAUAAGCUGAGCUCAUGACGGUACCGUAAGAAUAAGCACCGGCUAACUACGUGCCAGCAGCCGCCGCGG